rnacentral:rRNA from 1 species
AGAGUUCAAGAGUACGUGAAGCCGUCUGCAGGGAAACGGGUGAGUGCGCACGGUAGACUCGCGGCGGAUUCAGCUCCGGGGGCAACCUCGGGGUGCACUUCCGCGCCUGCGAGUCGCGCAGGGCCCGACUCUUUGGCCGUGCUGAAGCCCGGUGAGGAGGUGACGGGGUUCUUCGGAACUCCSAGUUUAASUCAUCGGCGCGGAGACCGGCUGCGGGGUCGAGGAAUGUCCAUCCGUCUUUGACGCGUGGGUCGUGGUCGGCUCGUCGGUUCGACUGGGUUGGAGCCUGUCUUYGACGGGCUGCUCUCGACUGCCGAUGGGUUCCUCCGCGGCUUUUCGCCGGAUGACUGGGACACCUGUGCUCAGGUCGGCACCUCACCCGACCCGUCUUGAAACACGGACCA